rnacentral:rRNA from 1 species
GAUGAACGCUAGCUACAGGCUUAACACAUGCAAGUCGCGGGGCAGCAUGGGGGUUGCUUGCACUCCCCGAUGGCGACCGGCGCACGGGUGAGUAACGCGUAUCCAACCUGCCCUUCACCACGGGAUAACCCGGCGAAAGUAGGACUAAUACCGUAAGUUGCCCAUUGACGGCGUCCGAUUUCGUCGAAAGGUGUGGCGGUGAAUGAUGGGGUUGCGUCUGAUUUGCUGGGCGGCGGGGUGACGGCCCACCGUGGCGACGAUCGGUAGGGGUGCUGAGAGGAAGGUCCCCCACACUGGAACUGAGACACGGUCCAGACUCCUACGGGAGGCAGCAGUGAGGAAUAUUGGUCAAUGGGCGUAAGCCUGAACCAGCCAAGUAGCGUGCAGGAUGACGGCCCUAUGGGUUGUAAACUGCUUUUAUGCGGGGAUAAAGUGGCCCACGUGUGGGUUUUUGCAGGUACCGCAUGAAUAAGGACCGGCUAAUUCCGUG